CUACGGGCGGCAGCAGAGAGGAAUAUUGCACAAUGGGGGGAACCCUGAUGCAGCAACGCCGCGUGGAGGAUGACGCAUUUCGGUGUGUAAACUCCUUUUAUAUGUCAAGAAAAUGACGGUAGCAUAUGAAUAAGCACCGGCUAACUCCGUGCCAGCAGCCGCGGUAAUACGGAGGGUGCAAGCGUUACUCGGAAUCACUGGGCGUAAAGGACGCGUAGGCGGGUUGGAAAGUCAGGUGUGAAAUCCUACAGCUUAACUGUAGAACUGCACUUGAAACUUCUAAUCUAGAGUAUGGGAGGGGGAGAUGGAAUUAGUGGUGUAGGGGUAAAAUCCGUAGAUAUCACUAGGAAUACCUAAAGCGAAGGCGAUCUCCUGGAACAUUACUGACGCUAAGGCGUGAAAGCGUGGGGAGCAAACAGGAUUAGAUACCCCAUAGUC
rnacentral:rRNA from 1 species